UGGGGAAUAUUGGGCAAUGGGCGAAAACCUGACCCAGCGACGCCGCGUGGGUGAUGAAGGCCUUCGGGUUGUAAAACCCUUUCGUGCGGAAAGAAUAGUCUCGUAGCGAAUAACUACGGGAUUUGACGGUACCGCAGGAAGAAGCACCGGCUAACUCCGUGCCAGCAGCCGCGGUAAUACGGAGGGUGCAAGCGUUGUUCGGAAUUAUUGGGCGUAAAGGGCGCGUAGGUGGUUGUGAUAGUCAGAUGUGAAAUCCUUCGGCUCAACCGAAGAACUGCAUCUGAAACUUCAUAGCUCGAGUACAAGAGAGGGAAACGGAAUUCCCGGUGUAGAGGUGAAAUUCGUAGAUAUCGGGAGGAACACCAGUGGCGAAGGCGGUUUCCUGGCCUGAUACUGACGCUGAGGCGCGAAAGCGUGGGGAGCAAACAG
rnacentral:rRNA from 1 species